rnacentral:tRNA from 1 species
GUCAAGUUAGAGCUUGACAAAAAAGCAUUUUAUUUACAUUAAAAAGUUAGUUGUGAGAUUCAAUUUGACUUGA